GUUCAAACGGCAGCACCGAGCAUGCGUCGACUGAUGAUCUCUUCAUCUUUACUACAGAUUAAAGCAGGAAACAAACACUAAUGAACACCAGAAGUAGGAGCUGCUCCAGACUACAUGAACAAAGAAUAGAUGCUGCUGAUACUGUGAAUACUAAGGAAGUUUAAAAGGUGGUAAGUUUUCAUAACAUGUAGUCACAGGAUAUUAGGUUUCUUGGGAACACACUUGGGGAACAGGAGGCUGGAGAAUGAAUCCAACAGGCGCAGAGAUGAGGAGAAUAACACAGAGCUAGACACUCUGAGUGGUCUGUGGUGGGAUUAAAACGGAUGUGCUCAGAAGUCAGAGUAGAGGAAUCAGCUCCAGCGAUCAAUCAAGUCAUUGAUAAACUGAAGAGCACCGGUCCGCAGAGGUUUCAGAGGAGGAGGGUAAAACCUUUCUGUGCAGCACUCAGGAUAACUGCGAGGUUGGGACGUCCCUCAGGGCUGUGGCUUAGGACCGUUUCCUGAAGUGAGGUCAGGGUUGCAGUCAGAUGCCAUUGGGGUGAUUUACCUUGACAUCAAAGGACACACAUGUCUUCUCUCUCGUACCUGAGUGGCAGUAAAGUGGUAAAUGUCUUCUGAGGUUGAUUCUUCGUAGGCUUUGAAUAGAUGGAGUCUGAUCUGUGUGUAUUGGAGGUCUUGGAGCUCAGGUGCCUCUCAGAGUUCCCAGCAGACCGAGCGGAGGCCGAGGUCGUCUCUGUUGACCCUGAUCCACACCAUCUACGAUGUGUCACUGCAGCAGCACAAACACAUAGAGCUCUGGUUAGUCACAUUACAUGACAAAUUGACUGUGAUUCAUAUAAAUUGUAUGUUGUGUAAUAAUGAGUGUGUGCGUGUAAGUACUGUAUGUGCCAGGGUUAUUAUCAUUAACUAAAACCAUUAAAAAUACAUUUUCAUUACUUGAAAUAACAAACAUUAGUAUAUAACUUAUUUUAUUUCAGCUGGCAACAUUUGCCAACUUAUGGCAACAUUAUUUGUUUAGUUUAAGUUGAAAUAUUAAAAUAACUAAAACUAAAAGUAAAUCUAAAAACGAAAUAGACAUAAAAAAGGACAAAAAUGCACAACAAAAUUAUUAAUUAACUGAUGUCUCAUUAGUAUCUCAAGGCAGCAGUGAGAUUUACUGCUCAGCAAAUGAAGAUAUUUGUUUCUUCUCAGAUAUGAUCAUAAAUGACAUAUGUGAUUAAAAGUUAGAAGUUAUCAAAAUGAACUCAAACAUUUAUCAUUUAAUUAUUCCAUGACCUAAUGAUCUGAACUCUUAGCUCUUGCUGUAUAUUACUGUUGUUGACUCAUUUGUGUCUAAUUUUAUAGGAGAAACAUCUGAGAAAGAAAAAAAAAAAAAAAAAGAUAGCUAAAAUAAACAUAUAGUCCCUGACAACACUAUUACUGUAUAGGUCUCCUGAAUAUUGACAGAACAACAUUUGAGCAAAACCAUCCGUGCCAUGAAACACAAGUGCCUUUUGCUCACAAUUUAUUCAAGGUUGUUUAGGAUUCAAGAUCAUUGAAUUCCUCACCUUCUUUGCAGGAACACUGCAGUAAUUAUGACUCCUCCGUCAGCAAAAGCGAUUAACCUAAUCACCUGUAAUACUCCCAGGGAGCUCAGAUUGUUCGUAAGUCAUGGCUCAUUGAAUAAAGAAAUGACAAUUAAAUGAGGUUUAUAACCUAAAUAAGAUGCAUAAAGAGCAGAGGUGAACGGUGUCCCUCCUGAUAAAUCAAUUCGUUCCUGUAUGCUUGAACAGUAAAAACUGUAUGUUUUUUUCUUUUUCUUUUCUGACCUUUAAAAAGGACUUUCA